AACAAGGUAACGUGUGUCUUACGAUAGACUGAUCGCCAUGUAUACAUUUCCGCGGUUCUACGUUCCGUAUAUACGUAACAUUACGACCCGCGAUCUCACAACAUCGUUUCGGAUUCUAUACGUAGUCCUGCCACUGCAGCGUGAACGUGUAGAAUCGCGUGUGUAAUUCUGGUUCUUCGUGUCAUGUAAUUUAAUAUAUCGGUUCACAGGCGUCGCGCAGAGGAAUC